rnacentral:lncRNA from 1 species
GUUACUCCAUAAUUGGACAAUGUUUGUUAAAUAAAAACAAAAGUGCUACAGUGUCUAAAUAAAAAAAAUGAAUCUAAACAAGGUCGUAGACAAAACCUCUUUUUUUUCAUUUUUUCACUUAUUAGUAGACUUAUAUUUUAAUUAGGCAUACCCUUGGAACACAAAUGAGAGGUUCUAUAGGGGCCUCUUUUCCACCAAUGAAUACCUUGAGGGCCAAGAUUUUUUUUCUUUUUUUUCUCUUGCUCUAUAUUGUCUUGGAGGUUGCUGGUCCUCAAGGAAACUAUGAUUUCCUUGACGAUUAGAAUAUUUUCUUGAUGGUUACAAAAUUUCCUUCGAUGUUGCUGGCAUUCAAAAAACUAUUUCACCUAGUGGUUGUAACAUUUUCUUGUUGCUUUGGCAACCAAUCUUUAAAAAAAUCAUCCUUGAGUACCAAAAACGCCAAAGAGAGUAAUUAUUUAUCCUCUAUCCUUGGCAGAGUUUGCUUGAUGGUUUGUGGCUAAAGAUCAUUACCUAGGUGGCUUAGUUUUUUUUACGGUUUUGGUCACUCAAAAAUUUAGGAUUCUGGUAGCGUGUGUCUAUAACUACCACACAUAUAUUCAUGUUGUUUCUAUUGUUACCGUGUGGUCUAUGUUGAUGGUGCUUCGUCAUCCACAUUAAUAUAUGAUUAUUAUAGUGGAGUAAAUUAGACUUAAACUAUUAUACCACUUUGAUCCAGGUCUCCAAAUUAUAAUAAUACUAACUGAGAUCCCUAAACUUCCUAAUAAAAUACAUAAGUAUUAAUUUGUUUGUAUGUAAACCCCCCUAUAAACUCUUAAAUUUAAUACAAAAUCGCACUAUGGGUAUCUCCCCCAUAGUUUUUGUCGUAAAAAAAAUACAUAAGUACUAUUCCUAGUAUAUAUAAAGUACAAACGCCAUAACAUAUUAGCCACAAUCAAUAUUUUAGACUUAUCCUAGUGACUUGGGUUUCUUCUAGUGUUUUAGCAUUUGAAAUUAAGUAUAAAUCCCCCCUGCUAAAAGCUCUUAGUGAGAUUCUCAUGUGCUAUGGCUAGUGGUAGUGUUUUACUAAUAAUACUUAAAAAUAUUAGGAGAAGUCCACCGUUUUAAUAGUGAGCUGACGUGGCAUUUCUGCAUAAAAUGAACAUACAUGUUCUCAGCUCAUAAUUAUGCAAGUGAUCCCUAAAUUGUAUGUGAUUCUCAUUAAAUGCCAAAACUAUGGAAUUGUAAAUAUGGAUACUUAAUUUAUUAUAGAGUAUCUCGAGUGAAACGCAACUCAAACUUUUCUUCCCAGCCUGAUUGAAUUUUUUUCUUGCACAAAUAUUUGUCACUCAUACUUAGACCAAUUUUAGUGAGAGUUUUAUAAGAGAAUUGUUUGCAUUUAAUAGUCUACCACAUAUGUAGUUUUGAUCAUAUGACAAUGUUUUAAUGAGUUUUAUGAGGAUGAAACUCUCUUGACACGAUUAACAGCUCUCUACGAGUCUGAUAAUUAAAUGCCUAUAAAACUCAAGAAACAAACUUUAUAUUAAGAAUAGAUGUUUUAUCCAAAUUUAAUUUUAUUCUAUAUAAAUUUUAUUCUAUAUGAUAUGAUAGUCUUAGAAACAGCGUAAUAAAACUCUACACCACCAAGAAUGACCUUAUGACGUGCCAUGCUUUCAGUGAAUCACUAGACGAAAAUCCGAGCGGACAAGCAAAAAUCAUCCGACUGGCGGCUUAGAUUUUGGACAGUCCAAAAGGAAACCAACCACCGGGGAAUACUAGUGUUUCUUAUGGGUCCAUUAGAUGCCCAGUUAGUUAAGUUGGGCCAACUAGUUUAUAUUCCGGAGUGGGCCUCUCUUCUUGUAUGACUAGCUGCUGAAAUCGAGCCUGCACUCAUGGCCUCAAAUAGCUCGAUCGUCUAACAAGCCGUGGGCUUAUAAAUAUAGAAAUGCUCAGAAAUAGAGAGCGACUAGGGCUUA